CCGGGUGUGGUGUGCCGGCCGUUCGCCUCGAUCUGCGAUAUCGAGGACAAGGAUUUCAACGAGGUGUUCUUCACCGACGCCCGGG
rnacentral:tRNA from 1 species